GACGAACGCUGGCGGCGUGCUUUACACAUGCAAGUCGAACGAAGAGCGAUGGAAGCUUGCUUCUAUCAAUCUUAGUGGCGAACGGGUGAGUAACGCGUAAUCAACCUGCCCUUCAGAGGGGGACAACAGUUGGAAACGACUGCUAAUACCGCAUACGAUCUAACCUCGGCAUCGAGGAAAGAUGAAAGGUGGCCUCUAUGUAUAAGCUAUCACUGAAGGAGGGGAUUGCGUCUGAUUAGCUAGUUGGAGGGGUAACGGCCCACCAAGGCGAUGAUCAGUAGCCGGUCUGAGAGGAUGAACGGCCACAUUGGGACUGGGACACGGCCCAGACUCCUACGGGAGGGAGCAGUGGGGAAUCUUCCGCAAUGGACGAAAGUCUGACGGAGCAACGCCGCGUGAGUGAUGACGGCCGUCGGGUUGGAAAGCUCUGUUAAUCGGGACGAAAGGCCUUCUUGCGAAUAGUGAGAAGGAUUGACGGUACCGGAAUAGAAAGCCACGGCUAACUACGUG
rnacentral:rRNA from 1 species